CAAACCAACAAAAACCCAGGCCUGCAGGCCUCAAGGGGAUUGUUCCAGCCCUGACUGCCAUCACCCCUUUAACUCCUGGCACCUGCUGCCUGCUCACAUUAAAAGGUUCAAACCCAGCAAUGAAGACACAGUUUCUGCAGUGAGGAGCUGGGUGUUGACUUGGUAACACUGGCAGAGAAAGGAGUAACACCUGAGACUGAUGAACACUGGAUGAAAGCUCCUGUGUGCUUCAGCUGUGGCUUUCACCAAGAAACCUUGGAGACAGUGCAGCUCCUGAUGGAAGCUCUCACAGCCCAUUCUAUGGCAGCUGCUGAAGCUGCAAAAUGAAGUGUGACCACCUAGUGGGAAGGAAGAAUGUGAACUCUGCCUCAUUUCUUC
rnacentral:lncRNA from 1 species